rnacentral:rRNA from 1 species
CACGUAGGGCGCAAGCGUUGUCCGGAAUUAUUGGGCGUAAAGAGCUCGUAGGCGGUCUGUUGCGUCCGCUGUGAAAACUCGGGGCUUAACCCCCGAGCCUGCAGUGGAUACGGGCAGACUAGAGGUAGGUAGGGGAGAAUGGAAUUCCCGGUGUAGCGGUGAAAUGCGCAGAUAUCAGGAGGAACACCGGUGGCGAAGGCGGGUCUCUGGGCCGUUACUGACGCUGAGGAGCGAAAGCGUGGGGAGCGAACAGG